rnacentral:rRNA from 1 species
ACUCCUACGGGAGGCAGCAGUGGGGAAUAUUGCACAAUGGGGGAAGCCCUGAUGCAGCCAUGCCGCGUGUGUGAAGAAGGCCUUCGGGUUGUAAAGCACUUUCAGUAGGGAGGAAGGUAGUGUAGUUAACACCUGCACUAUUUGACGUUACCUACAGAAGAAGCACCGGCUAACUCCGUGCCAGCAGCCGCGGUAAUACGGAGGGUGCGAGCGUUAAUCGGAAUUACUGGGCGUAAAGCGCAUGCAGGCGGCCUGUUAAGUCAGAUGUGAAAGCCCGGGGCUUAACCUCGGAAUUGCAUUUGAAACUGGCAGGCUAGAGUCUUGUAGAGGGGGGUAGAAUUUCAGGUGUAAGCGGUGAAAUGCGUAGAGAUCUGAAGGAAUACCAGUGGCGAAGCGGCCCCCUGGACAAAGACUGACGCUCAGAUGCGAAAGCUGGGGAGCAAACAGGAUUAGAUACCCUGGGAGCACAGAG